rnacentral:rRNA from 1 species
UACGUAGGGUGCGAGCGUUGUCCGGAAUUAUUGGGCGUAAAGAGCUCGUAGGCGGUCUGUCGCGUCGAUCGUGAAAACUUGGGGCUUAACCCUGAGCUUGCGGUCGAUACGGGCAUGACUGGAGUUCGGCAGGGGAGACUGGAAUUCCUGGUGUAGCGGUGAAAUGCGCAGAUAUCAGGAGGAACACCGGUGGCGAAGGCGGAUCUCUGGGCCUUACCUGACGCUCAGGCGCGAAAGCUAGGGGAGCGAACAGG